GCUGUAAUGAGAGUGGCGACACUCCCGUAGACUUCUAUAGAAAGAAUGGAAUGCGGAAGUCACGUGGUCCAUGGAGCUGCAGAAAGUUCAAAAUGGCCGUUGCUCCAGCACUGUACGCAGUUCAUUUUCGGUCUUUUGGAGGCUUUUUUGCCGAGUCCACUGAUGUUUCGAAGAGAUGGUCACUACCAAAUGAAGCAACUGCCAAGUUGAGAAGGAUGAACCCUCAUUGAAUGAACCUUUAAACAAUUAAUUGUUGCAGAUUCAACUAUUAAACAUUACAAGUAUUAGUAAAA